rnacentral:rRNA from 1 species
AGAGUUUGAUCCUGGCUCAGGACGAACGCUGGCGGCGUGCUUAACACAUGCAAGUCGAACGGUGAAGGGAGCUUGCUCCUGGAUCAGUGGCGAACGGGUGAGUAACACGUGAGCAACCUACCCUUGACUCUGGGAUAACAGUUGGAAACAGCUGCUAAUACCGGAUAUGACCCCGGAAGACAUCUUCCGGAGUGGAAAGCUCCGACGGUCAAGGAUGGGCUCGCGGCCUAUCAGCUUGUUGGUGAGGUAACGGCUCACCAAGGCGACGACGGGUAGCCGGCCUGAGAGGGCGACCGGCCACACUGGGACUGAGAUACGGCCCAGACUCCUACGGGAGGCAGCAGUGGGGAAUAUUGCGCAAUGGGCGAAAGCCUGACGCAGCAACGCCGCGUGCGGGAUGACGGCCUUCGGGUUGUAAACCGCUUUCAGCAGGGACGAACAACACGUGACGGUACCUGCAGAAGAAGCACCGGCUAACUACGUGCCAGCAGCCGCGGUGAUACGUAGGGUGCGAGCGUUGUCCGGAAUUAUUGGGCGUAAAGAGCUUGUAGGCGGUCUGUUGCGUCGGAAGUGAAAACUCAGGGCUUAACCCUGAGCCUGCUUUCGAUACGGGCAGACUUGAGGAAGGUAGGGGAGAACGGAAUUCCUGGUGGAGCGGUGGAAUGCGCAGAUAUCAGGAGGAACACCAGUGGCGAAGGCGGUUCUCUGGACCUUUCCUGACGCUGAGAAGCGAAAGCGUGGGGAGCAAACAGGCUUAGAUACCCUGGUAGUCCACGCCGUAAACGGUGGGCACUAGGUGUGGGACCCUUCCACGGGUUCCGUGCCGUAGCUAACGCAUUAAGUGCCCCGCCUGGGGAGUACGGCCGCAAGGCUAAAACUCAAAGGAAUUGACGGGGGCCCGCACAAGCGGCGGAGCAUGCGGAUUAAUUCGAUGCAACGCGAAGAACCUUACCUGGGUUUGACAUAUGCCGGAAACAUCUAGAGAUAGGUGCCCCGCAAGGUCGGUAUACAGGUGGUGCAUGGCUGUCGUCAGCUCGUGUCGUGAGAUGUUGGGUUAAGUCCCGCAACGAGCGCAACCCUCGUUCUAUGUUGCCAGCGGUUCGGCCGGGAACUCAUAGAAGACUGCCGGGGUCAACUGAGGAAGGUGGGGAUGACGUCAAGUCAUCAUGCCCCUUAUGUCCAGGGCUUCACGCAUGCUACAAUGGCUGGUACAAAGGGCUGCGAUACCGCAAGGUGGAGCGAAUCCCAUAAAGCCAGUCUCAGUUCGGAUUGGGGUCUGCAACUCGACCCCAUGAAGUCGGAGUCGCUAGUAAUCGCAGAUCAGCAACGCUGCGGUGAAUACGUUCCCGGGCCUUGUACACACCGCCCGUCAAGUCGUGAAAGUCGGUAACACCCGAAGCCGGUGGCCUAACCCUUGUGGAGGGAGCCGUCGAAGGUGGGACCGGUAAUUAGGACUAAGUCGGAACAAGGUA